rnacentral:lncRNA from 1 species
CGUUGCCGCAUGCUGUUUGUGACGGAGCCUCUUACCCGAGAGGAUUAAAAGCUACCGUGUUAAUUCGGUUUGAAAAAGGUGAGUAUUAUUAGUUACACAGAUUGUUUGGCAAGGGGGCCUCUUCACCUGUAAAGGUGAAAGCUACCAAGUUGAAGUAAGCUGUUUAACAAAAAAAAAAAAAAACAGACGUGAAGGGAUUUCGUUUGUCAUUUCAGCCAAGGAAACCUCGUAAGCUAGUUUACAAAAAAAAAAAAAACAAGCGUGAAGGGAUUUUCGUUUGUCAUUUCAGCCAAGGAAACCUCUUUGUCUGUGAAGACAAAAGCUAGCUGAGAUAUUUUUCACUUCCCUAUUAAGAUGCAAGAGGAAGGCAACAUUGGUUUUCCAGCAGAGAUCCCUGCAGGACAAGUACAACAUCGGCCUGAGCGGGAUCUUCAAGAAGAAGGUGUCGGGCGUAAGCGAUCUCGCAAGCGCAAGCAUGUAGAAGGGGACGUGGAUCACCUUCAGAGGCAAAUGCAAGGAAUGCAAGAGACUCUGAAUAAUUUGUUACAGGUGCAGCAGUGGCCGGUGGGACCGCCAGGCCCUGGGGAACUGGUGCAAAAACAUCCAUGCCGCCACCCAGAUGAGAUAUCUGUGAUAGCAUCUGGAGUGUUUGGAAGGGAAGGCAAUUCUAUGCCAUCGGAUCAGGAGGACAUCUCUGAUUCAGAAAUGGAGGAUUAUUCUUCUCAGGCCUCGGAUCCUGUUCCUUUGGAUCCAUCAGAUAAGGCAGUGAUUGCUAGAGCAGCAGAGCGGGCGAACCUGACUUCACAACCUGCCUCAACAUCAACUUCGGUGUUUGAUAGAGGCUCUCUGCGCCGAAAAACGGAAGGUUUGCCUAUACUUCCAGACUUUGUGACAGAGUUGCAUUCUUCAUGGAAGGUCCCAGGUUCCACUGCCCUCCCUAAGACACAGCUGGGCAGCCUGGCAAGGGCGGCAGCUUACGGGCUUGCUUCAGCUCCUCAGAUUGGGCCCACAUUUGCUAUGUUGGCAGGACCAACCACCAGGGCUGGCAAAGAUGCUAUACACCCUAACAAGCAUUGUAGGUUAGUUGACUUUCAGCUAAAAAGAACUUAUCAUGCCUCUGCCUUGUCUGCAAGACUGGCAUGCACGAAUUCCCUCCUGUUGGUUUAUUUAGAGGGUAUACUGCAGGAUUUGUCCUCUACCUUGAUGAGUGAUGACAUUCCAGAAGCAUUAAGGGUGGUUGACAUGCUGAUCCGAGGAACAAGUGCACAUGCCCAAGCUCUGGGACAAUCGAUGGCCAGUGUGGUUCAAGCACGUCGUCAAGUAUGGCUGUCCCAGGCCAAUCUUUUGGACCAAGACUGCAUGGCAGUCGUAGCAGCUCCAUUGAUCCCUGGCGAGGUCUUUGGGCCCCCUUCAGAGGCAGCAUUGGAGCAGUCCCGUAAGACAAGGGAGUUGGCACGCUCUGUGCGUCGGGCACCAGUUAUUCGUGGGCCUCGGACAUCAACGGGGAGCAGUAGCUGGACUCGCCC